AGCCGUGUAGCCCAAAUGGUACGGCAGGAGCCUUUGGAGCUCUUAUAUGCUGGUUCGAGUCCAGCCACGGCUGCCA
rnacentral:tRNA from 1 species